CCUUUUGUAUAAUGGGUCAGCGACUUAUAUUCUGUAGCAAGGUUAACCGAAUAGGGGAGCCGAAGGGAAACCGAGUCUUAACUGGGCGUUAAGUUGCAGGGUAUAGACCCGAAACCCGGUGAUCUAGCCAUGGGCAGGUUGAAGGUUGGGUAACACUAACUGGAGGACCGAACCGACUAAUGUUGAAAAAUUAGCGGAUGACUUGUGGCUGGGGGUGAAAGGCCAAUCAAACCGGGAGAUAGCUGGUUCUCCCCGAAAGCUAUUUAGGUAGCGCCUCGUGAAUUCAUCUCCGGGGGUAGAGCACUGUUUCGGCAAGGGGGUCAUCCCGACUUACCAACCCGAUGCAAACUGCGAAUACCGGAGAAUGUUAUCACGGGAGACACACGGCGGGUGCUAACGUCCGUCGUGAAGAGGGAAACAACCCAGACCGCCAGCUAAGGUCCCAAAGUCAUGGUUAAGUGGGAAACGAUGUGGGAAGGCCCAGACAGCCAGGAUGUUGGCUUAGAAGCAGCCAUCAUUUAAAGAAAGCGUAAUAGCUCACUGGUCGAGUCGGCCUGCGCGGAAGAUGUAACGGGGCUAAACCAUGCACCGAAGCUGCGGCAGCGACGCUUAUGCGUUGUUGGGUAGGGGAGCGUUCUGUAAGCCUGUGAAGGUGUACUGUGAGGUAUGCUGGAGGUAUCAGAAGUGCGAAUGCUGACAUAAGUAACGAUAAAGCGGGUGAAAAGCCCGCUCGCCGGAAGACCAAGGGUUCCUGUCCAACGUUAAUCGGGGCAGGGUGAGUCGACCCCUAAGGCGAGGCCGAAAGGCGUAGUCGAUGGGAAACAGGUUAAUAUUCCUGUACUUGGUGUUACUGCGAAGGGGGGACGGAGAAGGCUAUGUUGGCCGGGCGACGGUUGUCCCGGUUUAAGCGUGUAGGCUGGUUUUCCAGGCAAAUCCGGAAAAUCAAGGCUGAGGCGUGAUGACGAGGCACUACGGUGCUGAAGCAACAAAUGCCCUGCUUCCAGGAAAAGCCUCUAAGCAUCAGGUAACAUCAAAUCGUACCCCAAACCGACACAGGUGGUCAGGUAGAGAAUACCAAGGCGCUUGAGAGAACUCGGGUGAAGGAACUAGGCAAAAUGGUGCCGUAACUUCGGGAGAAGGCACGCUGAUAUGUAGGUGAAGUCCCUCGCGGAUGGAGCUGAAAUCAGUCGAAGAUACCAGCUGGCUGCAACUGUUUAUUAAAAACACAGCACUGUGCAAACACGAAAGUGGACGUAUACGGUGUGACGCCUGCCCGGUGCCGGAAGGUUAAUUGAUGGGGUUAGCGCAAGCGAAGCUCUUGAUCGAAGCCCCGGUAAACGGCGGCCGUAACUAUAACGGUCCUAAGGUAGCGAAAUUCCUUGUCGGGUAAGUUCCGACCUGCACGAAUGGCGUAAUGAUGGCCAGGCUGUCUCCACCCGAGACUCAGUGAAAUUGAACUCGCUGUGAAGAUGCAGUGUACCCGCGGCAAGACGGAAAGACCCCGUGAACCUUUACUAUAGCUUGACACUGAACAUUGAGCCUUGAUGUGUAGGAUAGGUGGGAGGCUUUGAAGUGUGGACGCCAGUCUGCAUGGAGCCGACCUUGAAAUACCACCCUUUAAUGUUUGAUGUUCUAACGUUGACCCGUAAUCCGGGUUGCGGACAGUGUCUGGUGGGUAGUUUGACUGGGGCGGUCUCCUCCUAAAGAGUAACGGAGGAGCACGAAGGUUGGCUAAUCCUGGUCGGACAUCAGGAGGUUAGUGCAAUGGCAUAAGCCAGCUUGACUGCGAGCGUGACGGCGCGAGCAGGUGCGAAAGCAGGUCAUAGUGAUCCGGUGGUUCUGAAUGGAAGGGCCAUCGCUCAACGGAUAAAAGGUACUCCGGGGAUAACAGGCUGAUACCGCCCAAGAGUUCAUAUCGACGGCGGUGUUUGGCACCUCGAUGUCGGCUCAUCACAUCCUGGGGCUGAAGUAGGUCCCAAGGGUAUGGCUGUUCGCCAUUUAAAGUGGUACGCGAGCUGGGUUUAGAACGUCGUGAGACAGUUCGGUCCCUAUCUGCCGUGGGCGCUGGAGAACUGAGGGGGGCUGCUCCUAGUACGAGAGGACCGGAGUGGACGCAUCACUGGUGUUCGGGUUGUCAUGCCAAUGGCACUGCCCGGUAGCUAAAUGCGGAAGAGAUAAGUGCUGAAAGCAUCUAAGCACGAAACUUGCCCCGAGAUGAGUUCUCCCUGACCCUUUAAGGGUCCUGAAGGAACGUUGAAGACGACGACGUUGAUAGGCCGGGUGUGUAAGCGCAGCGAUGCGUUGAGCUAACCGGUACUAAUGAACCGUGAGG
rnacentral:rRNA from 1 species